CAAAAACUUCAAAUACCACCCCGUGAUUUUAUAUUUUUUUACUUUAGUACUCUAUGAUUUAAAGUGUAUUAAUUAAUUUAGUAUCAUAUGAUUUUAUUUUUUUUUUUAUUAUCGACUCCACUAAUAUUUUUCGUUAAAUCAGCGAAAAAGUUAAAACUAAAUGGUACUAAUUAAAGUAAAUAUUCGAUAAAUCUAAAUGAAGUAUCUGAAAUUUUUUGUAUAUAAUUUAACAAAAUAUUAACGAAAAAACUAACGAAAAGAUAAAAAUGAAACCACGGGACACUAAGUAACUUGAUACACUUUAAACCAUAGGAUACUAAAGUAAAAAAGUGCGAAACUACGGGGUGGUGGUAUUUGAAGUUUACCCAUAAAUAAAUAAAUAGAUUAAAAAUAUUUGAACUAUAUAUGAAUCUUUAAAUCAACUAUCAAAACUUUCAAAUUUUAAUUUUAUUAUUUAAAAUUUUAAUUUAUUUUACACUACAAUAGAAUUAGGUUAUAGAGACAUAUGUUUGUGACAUUUUUGUAUAAGUGUCACAUUUAUGCCAAAACUUAAAAAAAAACCUACUAAUACCUAAAUAUAAAGUUCAAUCCAAUCAAAAAUAAAAGAGUACUCUACUCAACCCACCCCAUCCAGGUCAUUCGGUUCGAUUACAAAUAGAAAAGAAAAAGAAAAGAAAAAUCGAUUACCAUUUCCCCUUCUCCCCUCAUUCAAUCGACUGAAAUCCUAGACGAAAAUAUCUUCCUCUCGUCCUCCUCCGCCACCGCAGCCAAAGAGAUAGAGUUCCGGCGGUUGCUAGAUGCUUAAAUAAAUAUUGUUAAAUUAACAGCACUCUUUUAGAUUAUAGCGACACUCUUUAACUGUCACUAUAUACCUAAUGACCUCACAUAUAACAACACUUUUUAAAAGUGUCGGUAAUUUAGCCAGCAGUAUUUUUUUCGACUUAUACCGAUAUUUAAAAGUGUCGGUAUAGACCGUUUUUAUUGUAGUGUUAUUUGAGUCCGUCAAUAUUAUUUUAACUUUAAAAUUGAGGUUAAUUAUUUUUUCAAUAAAUUUAUAGUUAUGAGAAUUAUAU
rnacentral:lncRNA from 1 species